GGUGGGAGCUGCAAAACGCACCCUCACGUUGGACCCACGAGGGUGUUGCUGGCCUCAGUCGACAAAUCGCACAAGUCGGGGCACAAGGCAGAGAAGCCAGGUCACGUCUCUGCAGUUACACCGCUCACGAGUGCCUGCUGGGGUGGAACCUGGUCUGUCUGUCUGUCUAGCACCAGAGCUCGGGCGCUGCUGCAGAGGGAAGAAAGAUCUGGGUGAGGGGCUCAGAGCCAGGGCGGGGAGGGGCUUUACCUGGCUGCACUUUGGCAUGGAAAUGAUAGCUAAUUAUGCUCAGGGACUAGUGCUGUGACCAUCUUACAGGUGGGAAGACAGGCACAGAGAGGUUAGUUCACGUCCCUGAUGCGGCCCAGCUAGUCAGGCUUUGAGGCUGGAUUUGGAGGCAGGCCGUGUGGUGCCAGCACGUGUGCUCUGACCAUUGGGCCACGGUGCCUCGUGACUGCGCACAGGGAAACACGGUAGAGUUCAAGGAUCUGGGUUCGAGUCCUACUGCCCCCACCCCCCCGCCGGUGGGUGUGCUCUGAAGUCAAUCAUUCGUGUUUAAUUCUGCCCCCUCGACAGAGGCCCUGCAGAGGCCCACCAGCCACAGAACUGCGCAAAAUAUUUUUUUAAGAAUAUAUAUGUGAUAAACAUUUUAUACGUGUAGAAGGGGAAGGGACAGAGGGAGAUUUGGAAGUGAUUACUUCUGCUAGAGGGCAGCGAGGGGAGCAGAGGGAGGAAUGCAGGUGGGGGCCGCGGGGUUACCGCACCGCUCCUAACAGCCAGUGAAAGGAGAGAAGCCGGCUGCCGCAGUGAUGAGACCCCGUCAGGAGCCAAAGGUUGUGAUUGAUUCCCCAUCACCCAGGGACAUGGAAAAGGAGACCAGAGUGAAUGGAGGCCCCGGAGUGGGUCUAAUGACACUGUGUUGAUAAAGAUCUUGGCUGUAACCUCUGUGAGAAAUGAGCCACGGACCACCAAUACUCAGUAUAUCCAAUCUGAUUUGCUCAUUGCCAGUGAUGAAGAUCUUGGCUGUCACUUCUGUGGAUGAAGAGCUAAGGGCCUCAUUUGAAGAGUUUGGCUGACACCUUUCUGAGUAAGAAGCAAAAUACCAAGUCUGCAUUUUCACCAAAUGAACAUACUACAUGUCAUCUAAUCAUUAUCAAAUGCUAAAGAUCCUGGCGUUUACAAACUCUGUGGGUAAGGAGAGAAAUGAGUGGUAAUUACCACAGGACAGCACACUUAUUCAUUUUCUAAGAAAAAAAACCUUGGCAGUUAGCUCUGUGGGUUAAAAACAUAAGACAAAUACAGAAUGAACACCCCACAGCUGAUUUAAUCAUUCUUUACUGGUGAAGACCCUGGCUAUUAUGUCUGGGACUAAGGAGCUUUAUAAAGACUGAAAGUGAACACAGGACAGCUGAUUUAAUCACUUAAUAAAGAAUUGUUAUCGUGACCAAGCAGCAUAAAGACUAACAAAAAAUGAACACACUCUACCAGAUUUGAUUAUUAGCUCAUGAUGAAGAGCUUGACUUUUACCUCUUUGGAUGAAGAGAGAAGAGAUCAAUUCAUCGUCCAAUGAUGAAGAUCUUGGCUGUUACUUCUAUGAGUCAGGAGCAAUGACCAAUCCUGGACCAAUGAUGAAGACUGGUGGAGUAUGAGUCAUGGAUGAUGAAUACUUGUCUGGAACUCUGAGGUCCAACCCAAAUGGGUGUUCCCCAUCGAUUUAAGUAUCUUCUAGAGUCAUGUGCUCUCUGGUUGCCUCUGCGUGUUAGGAACAUAGGACCGGUAAUGGGCCCAAUCAAUCUGAUUUAAGCAUAUGCUUUGGUCAGCAACCUCUGAAAUUUCCUGUACAUGGAAACCAAUAAUUGAUGCCUCAGCUGAUUUUAGCAUCCACCAUGAUCAAGAUUGUCAUGUUACUUCUGUCAGAAAGAGGCCAAAGCUGACACAUUCAAGCUGAUUGAAGCAUUUUCUUGGACUCCUCUGUGUGUUUAGAGCACAUAGAUGAAUAAUGGACACACGCUAGUGGACUGAACAUCUCCAGUCACGUGCUCUAUAGACCAAUAAUGGACGUGUCUGAACUGGUUACGUGUUUGACCACGGUCAGGAGCAAUACUGGUUGUCCUGUGUGUAAGUACACGUAGACCAUAGUGGAUCCUCCAAGCUGAUUUCCGCGUCUGCUGUGAUGGAGGUUGUCAUGUUGCCUUUGUGUCAUGAAUGCGA